rnacentral:snRNA from 1 species
AUAGUUAUCUAGCAAUGGAGAAACCAUGAGCACAAAGGUGGUGUUACUCAGGGAGAGGCCCAUCCCUUGUCAUCUGGACAUGCUAAUUCUUACGAUUUUCCCCAAAUGUGGGAAACUUGAUGGCCUAGUGUUGUAGUGGGAGGUUGUGUUUGUGCUCUCCCC